UGGGGAAUUUUGGACAAUGGGCGCAAGCCUGAUCCAGCAAUGCCGCGUGCAGGAUGAAGGCCUUCGGGUUGUAAACUGCUUUUGUACGGAACGAAAAGGCUCUGGUUAAUACCUGGGGCUCAUGACGGUACCGUAAGAAUAAGCACCGGCUAACUACGUGCCAGCAGCCGCGGUAAUACGUAGGGUGCAAGCGUUAAUCGGAAUUACUGGGCGUAAAGCGUGCGCAGGCGGUUAUGUAAGACAGGUGUGAAAUCCCCGGGCUCAACCUGGGACCUGCAUUUGUGACUGCAUAGCUAGAGUACGGCAGAGGGGGAUGGAAUUCCGCGUGUAGCAGUGAGAUGCGUAGAUAUGCGGAGGAACACCGAUGGCGAAGGCAAUCCCCUGGGCCUGUACUGACGCUCAUGCACGAAAGCGUGGGGAGCAAACA
rnacentral:rRNA from 1 species